UGCCAUAAGCCCGACCCGUAUUAUCCCAAUGCUAAUCGGGCCAACUCGCCCUCACUGACGCAUAAACCAGAGAAAUUGAUCAAUAUUGCGAAAUUGACCCGCAUUUUUAUUUCUUCUUCGGUGGAUUCAUUUUCACUUGGAAGACUAUUGAUUACUCCAAAAGCUUCAAACUUUGUGAUUGUUAUGCAAUUUCCAGAAACUGGGGUGAUGAAAGGUGUUUAUACAUUUUAGAAGGAUUGUUGAUACAGCAUUGGGUUUAUUUGUUGGUUCCGCAUCUGCAAUGUAUUUACAAAAGGUUCUGAGAAGACCUUUGUUGAAGAGGACUUUUGCGUCUUCUAAUUCUUCAUUAGCGAUGAGCAUGGAGGAUCAACUGCGGAUUCAGAAGGAGGCAAACAUAGGUGUUUUAUCAGGUGGUUUCUUGUCUGCAGGCAGUUUAUCCGCUAAAGAUUCAGCUACGAGUGACACAUAUUGCAAUGGAUGGAAGGUUCAGCAGCUUCCAACGGCUGACAAUUGUAAAAUUAUAAGAACGAACAUUUCAAGGAGAAAUGCUGCUGAGGAUGUGUUGAGCUCAUCCACUUUUUUACAUGGGAGACACAGAGUAGCUGUAAGCCCUCAUGAUGCCUGUGUUUUGCAAACUCGACACUACAGUUCCCAGUGCAAUGAUAAUUACCCCAAAUAUAAGAACACGCUGCUGGAAAGGAUACCAAAAUAUGUGAAGAUAGUAGAAGUUGGUCCCAGAGAUGGCCUGCAAAAUGAAAAAUACAUAGUACCUACUGAUGUGAAAAUUGAGUUGAUAAAGAUGCUUGCAUUUUCCGGUCUGCCUGUUAUUGAGGCCACUAGUUUCGUGUCACCAAAAUGGGUUCCUCAACUAGCGGAUGCAAAGUUUGUAAUGCAAGCUGUCCAAAAUGUACAAGGUAGCAGGUUUCCUGUAUUAACCCCUAAUCUUAAGGGUCUAGAAGCAGCUGUAGCAGCAGGUGCCAAGGAAGUAGCUGUGUUUGCUUCGGCUUCAGAGUCCUUUUCAAAAUCAAAUAUUAAUUGCACUAUUGAAGAGAGUCUGAUCCGAUACCGUGAUGUUGCUAGUGCUGCAGAAAAGUUCUCUCUACCUGUCCGUGGAUAUAUAUCAUGUGUUGUCGGGUGCCCAGUUGAAGGAGCAGUUUCAACAUCUCAAGUAGCAUAUGUUGCUAAAGAGCUUUCUGACAUGGGCUGUUACGAGAUUUCUCUUGGUGACACUAUAGGAGUUGGGACUCCAGGUACUGUUAUUCCAAUGCUUGAAGCUGUUAUAGAUGUUGUCCCUAUUGAGAAGCUUGCCGUCCAUUUCCAUGACACAUACGGACAAGCUCUCUCAAAUAUUUUCCUUUCUCUCCAAAUGGGUAUCAGUGCAGUGGACUCGUCUAUUGCUGGACUAGGUGGCUGUCCGUAUGCCAAGGGUGCAUCUGGUAAUGUAGCCACCGAAGAUGUUGUUUAUAUGCUGAAUGGACUUGGAAUUGAGACUAAAGUCGACUUGCAAAAGCUCUUGUUGGCUGGAGAUUUCAUUUGCAAGCACCUCGGCCGUGCAUCUGGUUCAAAGGCUGCAACUGCUUUCAGUAAAACGUUUGCUCAUGCAUCUAAGCUUUAUCUCUUUAUAGGUAAUCCGAAAGAGAAGAGAACAACUUUACAGACAGAUGAUUAGAUGAAAAUCCAAACAAGGAAGAAGCCAACAAAGAAGGACGAAAGUAGCAGAAAGAAGGUUUCUUGAAGAUUUUGGAGCAAUUUAUUUUGCAAGAAUCCGAAAAUUGGCGAUAGAUUUUGGUGUGUUUCUACGCUCUUCGGCGUUUUGAUCGAAGGAUUGAUCGGAUUUUGGUCGGUGAUUUGGUUGCGAUGCUUGGGUUCAAGAUUUUUUUUUUCGAGAAAUUAGCCUUACAUCAAGCAGAUUGGUUACUUUGGCUACUACAUGGGAAGUUAGGCAUAUCGGACUACAUAAGGAUUUCAGUUAAAGGGGGGACUGUGGCACUGGCCUAUUUCCAGGUUAAUGUUCUAAAAUUCUCAAACUGAAAACUGAAUGUGGAUGAGAAAUGACAGAUUAAGAGUAUUUAUGUUUCAAUUUAGUUUAAGCUACUGUAUAUUUUAGAAUUUUGUCUUCAAGGAUAUUUGGAUGGUGUACUUGAUUCACUUUUUGGUUCGUAAGUUUUAGAAACAUGUAAAACAAUGUUAGUUAUUUAUCAUCCAAUAGAAUUUUGUUCU